CAAGAGCGUAUAUUAAAGUUGUUGCAGUUAAAAGCUCGUAGUUGGAUUUCUGGUACAAUGCGCCUGGCCCGCGACCGUUAGGUCGUGAGUGCCGGUGCGCGUUUGCCAUCCUUCUAGAAAACGUUUCUGCUCUUUACCGGAGUUGGACUCUCGAUCUAGAUCUUUUACUUUGAAAAAUUAGAGUGUUUAAAGCAGGCUUUUGCUGUGAAUUACAUUAGCAUGGAAUAAUAAGAUAGGACUUUGGUGCUAUUUUGUUGGUUUGUACACCGAGGUAAUGAUUAAUAGGGACAGUUGGGGGUAGUUCGUAUUUAAUUGUCAGAGGUGAAAUUCUUGGAUUUAUGAAAGACGAACUACUGCGAAAGCAUUUACCAAGGAUGUUUUCAUUAAUCAAGAACGAAAGUUAGGGGAUCGAAGACGAUUAGAU
rnacentral:rRNA from 1 species